GGUAUAGUGGUGCAAUGGACAAUGUGUCUGACUACAGAUCAGAAGAUUCUAGGUUCGACUCCUGGCUAGCUCG
rnacentral:tRNA from 1 species